rnacentral:rRNA from 1 species
ACGAACGCUGGCGGCGUGCUUAACACCUGCAAGUCGAACGGAAAGGCCCUGCUUUUGUGGGGUGCUCGAGUGGCGAACGGGUGAGUAACACGUGAGUAACCUGCCCUUGACUUUGGGAUAACUUCAGGAAACUGGGGCUAAUACCGGCUAGGAGCUCCUGCUGCAUGGUGGGGGUUGGAAAGUUUCGGCGGUUGGGGAUGGACUCGCGGCUUAUCAGCUUGUUGGUGGGGUAGUGGCUUACCAAGGCUUUGACGGGUAGCCGGCCUGAGAGGGUGACCGGCCACAUUGGGACUGAGAUACGGCCCAGACUCCUACGGGAGGCAGCAGUGGGGAAUAUUGCACAAUGGGCGGAAGCCUGAUGCAGCAACGCCGCGUGCGGGAUGACGGCCUUCGGGUUGUAAACCGCUUUCGCCUGUGACGAAGCGUGAGUGACGGUAAUGGGUAAAGAAGCACCGGCUAACUACGUG